rnacentral:rRNA from 1 species
UCGAAUGUAGCAAUACAUGGCGGACGGGUGAGUAACGCGUGGGCAACCUGCCCUUAUCUGGGGGAUAACAGUUGGAAACGACUGAUAAUACCGCAUAAUAUGGUUUGAAGGCAUCUUCUUUCCAUCAAAGAUUUAUCUGAUAAGGAUGGGCCCGCGUCUGAUUAGCUUGUUGGUGAGGUAACGGCUCACCAAGGCGACGAUCAGUAGCCGACCUGAGAGGGUGAUCGGCCACAUUGGAACUGAGACACGGUCCAAACUCCUACGGGAGGCAGCAGUGGGGAAUAUUGGGCAAUGGAGGAAACUCUGACCCAGCAACGCCGCGUGAAUGAUGAAGGUCUUCGGAUUGUAAAGUUCUUUUCUAAGGGAAGAAGAAAGUGACGGUACCUUAGGAAUAAGCCUCGGCUAACUACGUGCCAGCAGCCGCGGUAAUACGUAGGAGGCAAGCGUUAUCCGGAAUGACUGGGCGUAAAGGGUGCGUAGGUGGUUUGGCAAGUUAGUAGCGUAACUCCGGGGCUCAACUCCGGAACUACUACUAAAACUGUCGGACUUGAGUGCAGGAGGGGCAAUUGGAAUUCCUAGUGUAGCGGUGGAAUGCGU